UACGUAGGGUGCAAGCGUUAAUCGGAUUUAUUGGGUUUAAAGGGUGCGUAGGCGGUUCGUUAAGUCCGGGGUGAAAGCCCACUGCUCAACAGUGGAACUGCCCUGGAAACUGGCGGACUUGAGUACAGACGAGGGCGGCGGAAUGGAGGGUGUAGCGGUGAAAUGCAUAGAUACCCUCCAGAACCCCGAUUGCGAAGGCAGCUGCCUAGACUGUAACUGACGCUGAGGCACGAAAGCGUGGGGAGCGAACAGG
rnacentral:rRNA from 1 species